rnacentral:lncRNA from 1 species
AAUAAAGCAGAAUUGUUCUUAUCUUCCCAACCUUGGCAAGAACCCACACUUCACGGUUUCCAGAUGAUCACAGCUGGUCAUAGAGGCCCACAGCAAUGAAGGGAAUUUCAGGAAAAAUUGAAUCCAGUGACAUGAAAGAGUUGAAAAGACAAUGACUACAGUAAUCUAAGAGCUUCCGGCUGGAAGUCUGACGUGGAAGUCUGCCUUUUGGGCUCCUUCAUGAAUCUGACUUUGGGAUCAGAGAAAAGAUACAGACAUGAGACACUUAUCUCUCUUGUCCACAAUGUUCAGACUCUGCUACCAGGAUAUUUCAGCUCUGUAAACCACAAGAACCCAAGAAUGCCACUCAUGGGAAUCUGGCAAGACCACCCUCUCAAGACUUAACUCUUCCCAAGAAACAAUGAAAUAUCCUGCCAAAUAAGUAUGCAGCCCUUCAGUCUGGACAGAUGGCCACAGAAAAGGCUAAUGUGAAAUUUCCAGGAUUGGAGACAGAAAUUCAUAGCAUAUGGCUUUCAUCUGGGCUUUUCCAGGUAAAACUAUACCAGAUGUGAUUCUAAUUUGUAAACAACUUUCAAAAUGCCUUAUGUUUUUUUCACUUUCUCAUACCCC